UACAGAGGUCCCAAGCGUUGUUCGGAUUCAUUGGGCGUAAAGGGUGCGUAGGCGGCGCGGUAAGUCGGGUGUGAAAUCUCGGGGCUUAACUCCGAAACAGCAUUCGAUACUGCCGUGCUUGAGGACUGGAGAGGAGACUGGAAUUUACGGUGUAGCGGUGAAAUGCGUAGAUAUCGUAAGGAAGACCAGUGGCGAAGGCGGGUCUCUGGACAGUUCCUGACGCUGAGGCACGAAGGCCAAGGGAGCAAACGGG
rnacentral:rRNA from 1 species